rnacentral:rRNA from 1 species
UACGGGGGGGGCAAGCGUUGUUCAGAAUUACUGGGCGUAAAGGGCUCGUAGGCGGCCAACUAAGUCGGACGUGAAAUGCCCAGGCUCAACCUGGGAACUGCGUCCGAUACUGGAUGGCUUGAAUUCGGGAGAGGGAUGCAGAAUUCCAGGUGUAGCGGUGAAAUGCGUAGAUAUCUGGAGGAAUACCGGUGGCGAAGGCGGCAUCCUGGACCGACAUUGACGCUGAGGAGCGAAAGCUAGGGGAGCAAACGGG